rnacentral:tRNA from 1 species
UGCUCUGUGGUGUAAUGGUAGCACAUUCACCCGGUAAGUGAAAGGUCCGGGUUCGAGUCCCGGCUGAGCAA